GCUUCAGGUAGUAUGGCAGUGUCUCCUGUGUGUGUAUGUCGCGUGCGUGACGUCAUUACUCAGCGCCAGCAGUUGGUUCCGGUUCGUAAAGGACAAGACAACGAGGCAUAUCAGUGGAAAAUGUCUUAAAUUGGUAAGGAGACCUAAAUAUACUCUUUGGAGUUAGUAGACAACGCUGUGAUAAGCCUUAUACUUAAAGAUUUAUAGUCGAUUUACUCAGUAGGAACGGAGAUUGCUGUAGAUUGACGCCUUACGGUCAGGAAGGAGUUCCUCCUAUUGAAACGUGCAGGGCUACAUGAAGGCAGGGGAGAUAGACUGUCCAGGGUUCCUGGUGCGAGUGUCCGCUCCAGUCUGGGCAGGCUGUCAGCCAUUUUCAAGUGAGUUCAAGUUGCUAAUGUAGAAAACAAUGUAAAACAGAAUGUACUGUGGUUUUGCACAAAUGUAAGUUGAAUGACUAUUAAGUGGUGUUUUGUUUUGUUUUAUUAUAGUACCACUAUUAGGCCACUACUGUUGUCUUUGGUAGAUUUUAUUUUAUUUUUGUCUCUUAUCUGGGUUUUUAUUUUUUAUUUCCAAAGAAGCCUUGAAUAGGUCUGUGAAGCGGUGUUAAAAGCUAAUUUUCUGAUCCUGACAAAAGAGAAACUGUAGUUUUUGAUUUGAGAUGAACGCACUACUUGAAUGUUUGUUUGUUUUUUAAAUAGUUGUUUGCAACACAUUUACAAAAUGCCAAAUCAAACCAAACUUAAUGCUGUCCCCAUUCUGAGGAUGGUCGGGAAAUAAAACCCACAUUAUAUUUUGGGA